AGUGAACGCUGGCGGUAGGCCUAACACAUGCAAGUCGAACGGCAGCACAGUAAGAGCUUGCUCUUACGGGUGGCGAGUGGCGGACGGGUGAGGAAUACAUCGGUAUCUACUUUUUCGUGGGGGAUAACGUAGGGAAACUUACGCUAAUACCGCAUACAACCUACGGGUGAAAGCAGGGGAUCUUCGGACCUUGCGCGAUUGAAUGAGCCGAUGUCGGAUUAGCUAGUUGGCGGGGUAAAGGCCCACCAAGGCGACGAUCCGUAGCUGGUCUGAGAGGAUGAUCAGCCACACUGGAACUGAGACACGGUCCAGACUCCUACGGGAGGCAGCAGUGGGGAAUAUUGGACAAUGGGCGCAAGCCUGAUCCAGCCAUACCGCGUGGGUGAAGAAGGCCUUCGGGUUGUAAAGCCCUUUUGUUGGGAAAGAAAAGCAGCAGGUUAAUACCCCGCUGUUCUGACGGUACCCAAAGAAUAAGCACCGGCUAACUUCGUG
rnacentral:rRNA from 1 species